UGUAUUAUGUUAUGUAAGACACAUGUGUUUACUUGUUUAAUUUUAUACAUGUUUAAGCAUUUAAUUGUUCACACUCAAAAUUAGAGGACAUAAUUAUCCGCUGAAAUCGAGUUAACGGUCAUAUUUAUAUAUUAUUUCAAUUUCAAUCAUGUUAGUGGGAUGUGUGGCCAAUUUUAAAAGGUGAGGUAAUGACCAAUAGGUAAAUGAUAAUAGCUUGUCCUUGUUUUCAAACCACUUUGACCUAUAACCACUACAUAGAGAGAAAGAGAGAGAGAGGAAAAGAAAGAAGAGAUGAAUAAAGGAGAUAUGGAAGAAGUGAUGUUGAAGGAGAAAGGAAAGGUAUGUGUAGCAGGAGGAAGUGGUUAUCUUGGAUCAUGGAUGGUUAUGAGACUUCUUCAAAUUGGUUAUUAUGUUAACACAACUAUUAGAGAUGGCAAGAAGGAUGUGAGCUACCUCAGAAAUCUCCCAGGUGCACACGAAAGAUUAAAUAUUUUUAAUGUUGAUCUACACAAACCACAAAGUUUCAAUGCACCAAAUUGAAGGCUGCAUCGGUGUAUUUGAUGUUGCACAUCCAAUUGAUUUUGAAGACAAAGAAACAGAAGAAAGAAUAACACAAAGAUCAAUUAAUGGGACAAUAGGUAUUUUACAGGCAUAUCUCGAUUCAAAAACAGUUAAACACGUUGUAUACACUUGUAGUGCAUCAACCGUUGUGGGUACUGGAAGUUCCAACGUCAUAAUUGAUGAAUGCUCGUGGAUAGAUGUAGAUGUUAUGAGAACAUUGAAGCCUUUUGCAAGUUGUUACGCGAUUAGUAAGACAUUAACAGAAAAAGCAUCUCUUGGAUUUGCUGAAAAAAAUGGUAUUGAUCUUGUGACUGUAAUUCCAACUUGGAUACAUGGUACCUUUUGUUACUCCUCAAAUUCCUGGCUCUGUUCGUUCAUCGAUGAAAAUGAUUCUAGGUCAUCAAAAUUUUAGUAUGAGUUAUCCUCCAAUUGUACCUUUUGUACAUGUAGAUGAUGUGACAAAUGCUCACAUUUUCCUUUUUGAAAAUCCUAAUGCAAAAGGGAGAUAUACUUGCUCAGCUGUUGAAAUAACAGGGGAAAAGCUAACUGAGUUUCUUUUAACAAGAUACUCUGAAUUUCAAAAACAAAUUACUGAGGCUUGCAGAAAAGAGAAGAGAAGAAUGAAAAGGAAGAAAAAAAACUCAAGGAUUCGUCAAGAACGCUAAGGUUUUGCGAGUGGAAUUCGUCGGGGGUGAUCCCUAUAAAGGUAUGUGAGAUCUUUUCAUGUUUGGUUAGUUAACCCACACGCCAACUUUAUUAAUUUAGCAAUUUUUAGUAGAUUGAAAGAUGAAAAGUGAAAUUCUGAAAGAAUAUUGUUGAAUACUUGUUGGUUGAGUUGUUGUUGCAUGCCUAGAGUUGAUUUAAUUCUUGUUUCCUGGUUGUUUUUGAGUCUAAUCUAUUGUGUAUUUAGGGUAUUAGUGAUUCUAAGUGUUUGGGGGAAAUCAUCAUCGAGUUUUAGAGGGUUUAAAGAUUAAAAAUAGAAAAGAAAAGUCGAAAUGCCUGUCCUUAGAGCCCUGGGGUGACACUCCUCCAUAGCCCCACAAGACAGUCUUUGUCCGUAGGGCCUUGGGGCGGCGCACCAGCUAGAGAGCCCCAACUUGGCCUUUGAAGUCUGGGGCCUGGCGCCCCACGCCUUUCAGAGUGCCAAGGACACCAGUUCACCCCCAUUCAUUCUCCACUCUUUGGUACUAGUUCCUAAGUGAUGUACCCACAUUUCUUAGGUGAUUCCAACACUCUAAAGUAGAACUAAACAUCAUGAAAUAAUCCAUAAACAUGAAAUCAUGAACCUUUAACCCAUAAUCCAAUUCAAGAAAAGUUAAGGUCAAAGUCAAAGAAGUUAAGAGUCAAGUUUAAAAGUUAAGAAGCAAGUCAAAGUAAAUUCUUAGAAGUUUUCAACAGUCUUUAACUAACGUUUUAACUUUGUUUUAAGGCUCAAGUUUUAAGUUAAGCAAAGAGUAAAGAGUUAGUUUAUUUCUUUAAAUUUAUAUAGGAACUAAGUAUUCCCUAAGAGUUACAAAUGUUUUCAUAUUUUGAGCAAGAAAGGAAGCCCUUGGCUAUUUUUAAUAAAGAGGAAAGUAUGAGUUCCAAGAGAGCUUUUAAAGUUAAGUUUGAGAAAUUACCUCAAACCAGAGAAAAAGUUGUUUUAAAAACAUAUGAGCUAAGUAUUUUGGGAGUAGUAUUGAGCAUCGAUAUGGGGAUGCGAGUUCUUAUUAACCCAAGCCCCCAUAAACCAUGUAGUCAACAUGGACAGAAGAAGGGUCAUACUAUUUAGAUGAAUCCAUAGUGCUUUUUAGCAUGGACUAGUGGACCCACUUAGUAGUUCAGGUUCUAUACUGAAAGCAAGGUAUAUAUAGGACGGUCCUUUUGCAACGUGAGGUAAAACGUUGUACCAUCACUUAGGCUCAUAGUGAUGGUUGUCGAUUAGAGAAUCUCCCAUAGAAACUAUAUUACUUUCAUAAAUAAGUAAAGUUGAGUUUGUUAUUGCAUUUUCUUAAACGAACUGAGUUGUUUAAAGUGUUUUACAAGCUUUAUAUAUAUUGCGUAUGUCAUUAUUACUUGAUUUAAGUUCAGUAUUUCAUGAGUUGAGCAGAACUAAGGUAAGUGUUUCUUUUUAUUAUUUUCGAGCUUAAGUUGUUGUUUAGCAUUCCAACUCGCAUACUCAUAAAUUCAAUGUACUGAUGCCAGUUGACCUGCAUCGUCUUAUGAUGUAGAUGCAGGUAACCAGGAUCAACAUCACCUAGUGCCUCGUUGAUCCAACUAAGCACUCGAAGUCAGUGGUGAGCCUCCUUGCAUUUUGGAGGACACAUUUACAUGAUUUUCAUUACUUCUUUUAUAGGAUAUUAUGGGGUCUAUCCCAACAUCCAUCUUAGUAUUAUAGAGGCUUCAUAGACAGAUAGACAGUCAAACAUUUUAGUUUUGAGUCUCUCAUUAUUUACAAUAUUUUAUUAUGAGUGUCAGUUUGGCCAAGCUAUUUCAUUUUAAGUAAUUCUUUUGAGAAUGUUUCUUGCUUCAUGAUUGAGUUAAGUCUUCCCCUAAGUUAAGUAAGUCAGACCAAGGGUUCGCUCAUGGCCAACAAUGGUCAUUGGGUGUCAGCCACGUCCAAGGUGUAGGCUCGGGGCAUGAUAAAUUGUUAAAGAACAAAAAGGAGAAAUUUAGGGGAGAGAAUUAUUUUAAAAAGGAACAAUUCCUUAAAAGUCUCAUUACAAAAUUAUAUUGUUAUUAUAUAUUCUUCUAAAAUAUGGGAAACUACUACAAUAUAUAUUUUUGUUAUCUAUUCUUUGAAAAUAAGAGAAGUUUUUCAAAAAAAACAUAUUUUAACAUUUAAUGAGACCUGAUAGCCACAAUUUCAAUAGUUAUUAAAGAUGUCAAUAUUUUAGUUUAUUAUAUUAUUGAUUUAUGUAUUCUUGUCAUUUGUUUAAUUUAAAAAUUAGUUAAUAACAUAAUGCAGAAAAACCAUAGGAAAUAAUAUUUCAUAUAAGUUAACUUUUAAAUAUAAACCAAAAAAGUUACCAGAAUUAUUAAUCAUAAUUUUAGUAUAGCUUUAAGUCGGCCUAGUUCUUUUUCACUACUCUUACACUCUUUCAAUCUUUAUUUUUGGAAUUAAAAUUUGUAAAAUCUCUUUCCUAUUAUACAUUUUUGGUUCCACAAUCAACAUGACUUUUAUCUCCCUCAUUCCUGAUCAAAUUCCCAUUUAUUUUUAGCACUCCAUGGAAAAUACUCAAUCUAUGUCGAAUUGAAGUCGAUUGAUUUUAGAUUUUUGCUUGUAGUGAAGAAGAUUUUAGAAUGAAUACAUACUAAAAAAAGAAAUACAAAAUUUGUUGGCAAACAAAGUGAUAUUGAAAUACAAAGUGAGCACCAAAAAAAUGAAACUUAUUGACAUAUAGUUAGAAUGAAUACAAAAUGCAACAGACAAUAAAAACAAUAAAAAAAAAAUACCAUUUUAUAGUUUAGAUACGAAAUGCAACAUGCCAUAAAGUUUUUUUUCAUCUUGAUCUUCAACAAUUUCAUCAACUUUCCAAAUAUUGACGGUACUUCUUCGCCUGAUACCUCUUCCAAAUCUAAUUUAAUACUUUUCAAUGAUUAUCCUAAUAUUGACACUUUAAUGAUGACACUUCUUCACUUGGUACUUCUUCCAUAUCUAUAUCCAACAUACAAAAUAUUUUUGUAUCUCAAUACUUCGACAAAAGUUGAAAAUCUUUUGAAUGAUUUCUAAGAUUUCUUAGGAAAAUGGAGGAUUUUGAUUUUUUUAAAAGCAAGGUUUAAUUACUUGAGAAUACGAAAUAAUGAAAGAAAUCUUGAGCGAAAGAAGAAGGAUGAAAUUUGGAUAAAAAAUUUAGAGAGUGAAAAGUGGGUAGUGAAGUCUUUUAUUAUGUCUUUCACAUGUAAAAGAGUCAAAAAGUAGGCCCAAUUUCAGAAAUAAAAAGAAAGAUAAAUGAAUUGUAUUAGGAUACACUUUAUUUUUUAAAAUAUUGACAUUUUGACAUUUUUAAUAAUUAUUUUAAAGUGUAGACAUUUUUUAUAAUAAAGUUAGGAAGUUUGACUAGUUAGCUAAUUUAUCCAAAAUGUAAUAGCCUAAUCUGCCAAGGGGAAAUUUAAGUACGCCCAACUAAGAAAAGACAAGUAGAUGAAUUACCUACUUUGAGCUGUUAAUGGCUGAAAAUAGAGAUAAAAGGGGAGGUUCUAAAGGAUUUCUUAAGGGUCAAGAAAUCCCAACAUAAAAUAAAUACUGCUUGAUAUUUCUGCUCAUUCUAACAUGCAAAAUUAAGAAUUAACAUCAACCCUCUCUGCCUUUUCUUUCAAGUAUUAAACAACAACCAUAAAAUUCCUUCUAGGGUUCUUGAAGAAACUGUCAUCUUUACAAGACAAGGUAAGUGAGCUCACUUAUGGAUUUAGCUUAAUUUUCCCAUGGAACAUAAGCAAAUCAUAUUAUUUAUGCUUAAGUAUAAGCAUAAAGGCAGAAUGUUUCCGUAACACACUACUCAGUUUUCUUGGUUAUUAAAAUACUUUUAUCUUCUUCUUUGGUUUAAGUGUGGAGGGGGGUUGAAGUUCUUGAAGAUUUCAAGUUAAAACGAUAAGUUGCAUAACUUGAGGUAGAGUUAUUGCUCUAUUUUUGUCCGAGUAAAGAAUUAUGGGUGUGUUAUUUUUGAAAACUCAAGGAAUGGUGAUUUCAAUAUUUGGUUGCUAUGAUAAAAAAUACUUGAGGCUGUUUUAUGUGUAUAUGUUGUGAAGAAAACCUUACCCCGAUACAAGAAUCAGGUUGUAUUAAUUCUAUCGCAACACAAUAAAACAAAGAUUUAUCGUGGAAACCUUCCUAACUCAAGGAAGGGAAAUAUCACAUCAAAGUUUUAUAUUAAUUAAAGAUUUACAACUCAGUUAAUCAAUGAAUCUAACUCUGAGCUUCUGCCCUUUUCGAUUAACUAUAAUCGAAAACUUCCUACUCAUCAAGAAGUCAAACUCGCUUCUUGUUUACAAAAACUCUCAAGUCUUCUUAACUCUAACCACCCAAAAAGUUAGAACCCACAUCUUGUUUACAAUUCUCACAACCGCUUUCCCAAGAAGUCAAACCCACUUCUUGUUACAAUUCUCUCAAUACUCUACUCCCAAGAAGUCAAACCCACUUCUUGUUACACAAUCUAGGAAUUACUACAACUCAAUAAUAAACCUAAAAUAAAUCAACAAAGACUAAUAACCCUAGACUAUUAGACUUCCACAUUCAAUAGUUCUGAGUGAAACAGAUACGUGGACCUGGUCCUUACGUUGUUGUGAUGAAGGUGAACCUGGUCCUUACGUUGUUGUGAUGAAGGCUGCAUUUUUUUCUCCAUUAAAUACUGCUCUCAAGAUGAUAUAUUUCGUGAAUAUGCAAUGACUAUUGUUCUUGCUUUGCUGAUAAACUCUCUCGAUUUGUAUUUAUGCAAUGACGUUUUUUUCCUUCAACUUCUCGUUCCUUUUAUAGAUUUGGUUUGCCUUCAACUUCUAAAAGGAAAGGAAUUACAAAUCUUUUUCCUUCUUGAAUUUGUGAAUAUUUACUUCUUUCUUUAUUUGACUUAAACGGUAACUUUAUUGUUUCUUUCAUUUUUUUAUUUGAAUUGCUACUUUUUUUUAUUUCUUUCCUUCUUUAUUUCUUUCUAUAUUUGUUUCCAUCUUUUACAAUUACGUGUAUUUGCCUAAUCUGCAUAGUGGUUUGUUUCUACACUGAUGUGUAUAUGUCUAUCAUCAAAACUUGCUAAUCAAGAACGUGCUAACCAUAUUACACUGAGCAGUAAUAUACGACUUCAAGUUUCCUUAUUCGUUUCAACUUGAACUUUGAGCAUUGUUUGUUCAACUUUGGCUUUCAACACGUUUUGCUUGAUUUCACACGUUUUGCUUGAUUUCCUUUUUCUUAUCUGUAUGUAUAUGUAUUUUCUUCCAAUAUGUCAUCAUAUUACUUGUUGCUCUUUGCCACAAUCUCUCAUAAUUGUACAGGUUAUCUGCAGAUAGAGUACACAUACGACAAUAAGUAGCGAACCUUGCCUUCACUUUAUCAAUCAUCAAAACUACUUUAUAUGUUCUCCUACUUCCCAACAUUUUUUCCCUUUUAUAUGACGAUAAACAAUGAUUUAUUACACAUCAAGACUCCUUUUUAGUGAUCAAAACUAUAACUAUUUGUCAUCCAUCAAAACUACAAUCUUCAUGUUUUCUCAUUCCCCAACAAUUUCCCCCUUUUUUAUGAUGACAAACUAUGUUUAUGUUUAUCCAUAUUAUAUAAUUUUCCCCUUUUGACAUCACUGAAAACCAAUAACUAAAGAACUCUAAUAACAUUCAAUGAGUGCAAUAUCAUUUUUAACUCAUAGUCACUUGAGCAACACUUUAAACUACACUUCUGCUAACAAAAUGGUUAGUUAAUCUGAGGAUAUUAGUCAUGUAAAAUGCAUACACAAUUAAGAUCUUCAAUGAGAAACAGAAUAAACAAAUAUGUAUCAGUUUAAGCCCUUAGAGCCCUAAAUAAAGAGCAUAUGAUAUCAUGUGUCUGAGACAGACAUAAGCAUAUCAAAGAGUCAAAGAGUCUAAAAUUUGAGGAUAAGGAUUGGGAUAAAGAUUACUAAAGUGAGGAAGAAAGGUAUUUUUACUGACAUUGAUAAUUUUUUUUAGUAUGUUCAUUGUGCACCAACUCCUUCGUUCUGAUCAGUUUACUUAGAAUGUGAAAUGUCAUCAUGAGAAACACGAGGUACAUCAUCAAUAUUUUUUAAACUCUACUCUAUAACAUUCUCAUUCCUCCAUGUUUUUUACUAGUGUUGACACCAAAUUUUGGUCCGAUGGUUUAAAAUAUAUACAUUUUGAGUCCAAUAAAAAAUUUGUCUUUCCCACAUCGUUUCUCAAACAAUUUUCAAUUUUGCAAUAGUCCCACAUCGGUAUUUCAUCCUUUUUGAGGAUUUUUGGGUUUCUAUAUAAAUCCACUUCAUUCACUAUUUUUAGAGGAGGAUUUUGGAGGGGAAGACCAAAGAGUACCCAUAAAAUUUUGAGAAUUCUUGGUUCCAUAGUUCAAAAUUUUAAAGUGUUUUUUGUGAUUUUUCGAGUUGAGGAGGUAGAGUCGUCUCCCUCAAACUCGUAGUUUUGGUUCGCUGCCCAGAUUUAGGUAAAUUUUUUUUCUUAGCCUUGUUUUAUUUGAUUCCCAGCUUUUUUACGUUUUCUAUUUAUUAUAUGUAGCUUGUUUUUUUUUAGUUUAAUGUAGUUCUAAAAGUCAAUUAAUAUUUGUGUUUAUUGUAGUUUUAAUAUUAGCAUUAUUUUAUGGUUUGAUGUUUAUUUAUUUAUUAUUAUUAUUCUUUGAAAUUGUUAGUCAACUAUAUGCUAUCUUAACUUGUCAGGGUUUUGUUAUUAUUCUAUUUUAAUGUUAUUUUUAAUAUUUAUAUUUUACGUUAUUGUUGUUUCCAUUUCUAAUUAUGUUGUUUUAGUUGGGUUGUUGUUUUCCAUAUUCUCUUGUGAUAAGAUUGUUAUAUUUUGUUGAUGUUCAGGUUAUAUUAAAUAUAUUUGUUAAAUGGGCCGAUGAAGAAAUUACCGUCGAUUUCCAAGGCCUCCCAUGUUAAGACGGAUUUUUGUUUUUAAAGUAUUAUUUCAUAUAUUCAAUUUUAUUCAUUACUAACACUUUUACUAAGUGUGUUUACAGGUACCCAAGACUUGUUUCAUUGAAGUUAUUCGCAAGGAGUUCGAAUUGUAUCUUACAAUUCAUUAUUUUGAAGAUAUAGAUGCUAGGCAAACCUUAGGUCGUUUCUCAUGUUGUUGUUUUAUUUUAUUAUUAUUAUUUAUUGUAUAUUAUAUUACUGAUAUUUUAUUGUUAUCUCCUCAAUUUGAAAAAAUGAACUCAGUCGGGAACCAUAGUUGUGGAUUUCGAAGGGUGCCUAACCCAUUCCCUUCGGAAUAACUUGAACCCCUUACCUAGAAUCAAAUUGGUUUCGUAGAAUCUCUUUUAAGUUAAUUAGUUAAUUGGUUUCCUAGUUUUCCUAAAAACAAGGUGGCGACCCCCUUUUCCCUUUAAUCCCCAUUAAUCCCUUUAAUCUUUUUACCCCUUUUCACCCCUUUUAACCUUUUUUUUAAACCUUUUAUAAUUUUUUAAAGUUCUUUUUUUUAAUUGAGCUUCCGCGACGUUGCUCCAUUCAAAGGAUGUCAACAGAAUGGCAACUCCGUUGGAAAAUUAGAGGUUCUAACUAUUUUGGGUUUAUCUUUCCGAAUUGAGGAUACUAUUCUUUUAUUGUGUUAUUCAUUAUAUCUUGUAUUUUUUGGUAAUCAUUUGCAUAUUAUACUCAUUAUUCUUUCAUUAUUUAUUGUAUAUUGUCAUUGCAUUAAUGACAUUUUUCAACACAUAUGUAUAGUAUAUUAAAGAAUGAUUUUGCGGAACCGCAGAUCAGACUUUUCUAUACUCGAUCAUUUUUUUGGAAUGAUUGACAAUUUAUUGGUUCGUCAUGCGUCCAAUGGUUGUUGUGAGUUCCAGCCUAAGUUGUCCGCUUGGGUCCCCUGUUAUUCAAAACCACUCUUGGUCAGCUAUUUUUUGAACAUUCAUAAUCGCAGUCCAUUCUCUAUCUGAGUCAGAAUAUAUUGGAACUACGUUUGACCUGAUUCCUACUUCAAUGGGAUACGUAGGCGCCCUAAAGGCUCGGUCAUCUUCCCUGUAAGCUUUCCAAAAUUUGAAAACGGAAACUGUGGCAAAAAUUUUUGAGGAGGUCUCCAAAAUUUUUAUAAAGGAGAUAGUACAAGAUUAAAUACUGGAGGUUGUUGAAGCUGAAAUAGGGGAAAAAUUUUCAAGGAAUGCCCUAAAAAUUUUCAACAAAUUUGUACGCAAACUCUAAAAUUUAUGAGGCUUCACUCCGAGUUGAUUUGUAUAUUUUGCAUUAAUUUUUUGUACAUGAUGUCACAUUCAUUGUAUAUCUUUGAUUUUUAUAAUACUCCAUUGAAAAAAUUAGUUUAAUUGACAUUUUUUUUAAGAGUUUGGGUAGUCCUCCCUUCAACGCGACUCAUUAUUUUCUUAUUUUAUUUUUGUUACUUUUGUUAAAUUUGGGUGGUCCGCCCUUCAAUGUGAUCCACUGAUUCCUUCAUUCUUGUUAAUUUCCUUUUUAAAUAAUUAAAAAAUAUUUUGUUCAAUUCGGGUUGCCCGCCUUUCAAUGUGACUCAUUGGUUUUUAUUCUCAUUAUUUUUCCUUUCAAAAAGUAAUUUGUUGUUUAUGAAUUUUAUGUCAUAUUUGAAAGAACUACGCAAACCUAAUUCUCAUCAAUGAGAUACGUAGGCAGCCCUUAUUGGGUUCGGUAUCCUUUCUUCAAAAGAUUUUUAUUUAUUUAUUUUUUAUUCUUUGAAUGUUUAUAUUUUCGAAAUUAUUUUUCAUUGGGUUGGUGCCAACGCAGUUCAAGUGUGCAUAUGAAAAAUAAUUUGUAUAAUAAUGAAGAUUGACUUCUUGUUAAACCAUGGAUUCUUUUGGUACCUCUCAUUCAUACUUUGUUACACUUGCAAAUGUUGUCUUGUAUAAAUUCAAGAUUAGAACAAAAUCAGAUUCAUUGUUUCAUGUGCAUUGUGUAGUGAGUUUUGAAUCAAAUUCAAUUAUUUUACAUUGUUGAUCUAGAACAUAGCCUAAAUGUUAUUGAGGCGAAAUUCUGAGUAAUGUUUGAUUUUGAAAAAUGAUUGCAGGCCUUCUUUGAUCCGUUUGAGCCUUUCAAAACCUACCAAAUGAUGUUAAUCCUUAGAUGUCCCCAGUUUGAGCCUAUAGCCUUUUCUUUGGACAACCACAUCUUAACCUAUACCUUUUCUGAGUGCUUUUACGCACUAUCUCUCUUUUGACCAGACUUUCUUGAGCGCACUGAAGACAUGCAAGUUAUAAGAGAAGAUACAAAGUUCAAAUUUGUCAAAGACAAAAGUUAUCAAUGUUUCUGAAUGUCAAGAAAAUAACAAUGACUUCAGAAGAAAAAAAAAGCUUCAAAAUUCCCCACCAAUUUAAGAAAGCAAAAUUUCAAAAAGAAGAAAAACACUCCAAACAAAAAGGAGAAAAUUCAAAAAGGGGGAAAAUUCAGACAAACAAAGUUUCAAAGAAGUCAAAAGUGCAAAAGGAAGGGACAACAAAGAGAAUCAAACGCUAAAAGCGUAAUAGAUGUUGAAAGCAUCUAUUUAGUGCAAUGCUCAAGAAGGAAUAAGUCACUUUAAUCCCAAAUGACUAUCCUACCUGUUCCUAAGCCAACAUUACAAGUUAUUAACAAGCCCUACAUGAUUUCAAUUCAAAUGUUCAACAUUAAUGGAGAUUUACAUGAAGGUCAAGCAUAUGGUAUCACAAUUGCAUGCAUUGAAAUUUUUUUUUCGAGUGUGAGUGUGCUUUUCCAGAUGUUUCCAAAUCAAAACAAUUUAAAUGUGCGCAAAUUAAAAGUUUCUUUCUUGUGAAGGCACUUGAAACAUGAUGUUAGGUCUAGCUCUAAGCUUUUGUUUAUAGAAAGAUGGACAAAUUUUGUUGUUGCUUAAGUACAUUUGAGGUACCACUUGAAUUUAAAUGAAUUACCUCGAUGUCAAUUUUAGUUGAAAGAGAAAAAUUGUGAGAAAUUUUUGUACAAUACUAUUGUUGGCGCUAACCAAGUUAAAAUAUGUUUCAUUGUUCAUAAAAUAAAAAUGGAUUGAAACCCACUUUACAAUAUUUGUCCAUACCAAUGUUGUGGACCGUUUCAAAGUUUAAAUUGCAUUUUUAGUAGUCAUACCCUUCAAAAUGACAUAUUUUAUUUUUCGGUAUUCAUUCCCUUCAAAAUGAUAUCUUUUAAAUUUGGGUCGUCAUACCUUUCAAACUGACAUCAUUUUAUUUUUCAGCCCCAUAUUUGUCCAUACCAACUUUUGUGGACCGUUUCAUUGUUGAUAUUUGUCCAUACCAACUCUGUGGAGUGUUUCAUUGUUGAUAUUUGUCCAAACAACUUUGUGGACCGUUUCAAAGUUUAAAUUGCAUUUUUUGUAGUCAUGCCCUUCAAAAUGACAUAUUUUUUAGUUUUUGGUGGUCAUACCCUUCAAAAUGACAUCUUUUUUAGGUCGUCAUACAUUCCAAACUGACAUCAUUUUUAUAUUUAUGCCUAAUAUUCGCCCAAAUAACUUUGUGGACCAUUUCAAGGUUUAAAUUGCAUUUUUUGGGUAGUCAUACCCUUCAAAAUGACAUCUUUUUAUUUUUUGGGUCGUCAUAUCCUUCAAAAUGACAUCUUUUUAUUUUUGGGUUGUCAUAUCCUUCAAAAUGACAUCUUUUAUUUUCGCUAGUCAUACCUUUCAAAAUGACAUCUUUUAAAGUUAGGUAGUCAUACCUUUCAACAUGACAUUUUCUUAAAUUUAGGUCGUCAUACCUUUCAAAAUCAUAUCUUCUCAAAAUUGAUUUGUUGUCUCAAAUAAAAUGAUUUAUUUCAGAUUGGUUUGUCAUGCCGUUCAAUAUGACACUUUUUUUAUUCUAUUUUAAAUUGACAUUUUAUUUAAUUCCUGAUGUUAUUAAGUUUGAAUCAUUGCAUUGGUUAAUACCUUGUUCAUAUGGUCAUGCUUGUAUAAAUUAUGUUAUAUUUGCUACUAACAUUGAUAUUGCAGAUUUUGUGAUACGUCAUGUUAAGUUCAAGUUGGGUCGUCCGCCUUUCAAAGAGACAUGUUUGGUUGUCAUCUCCCUUCAAAUGACACGUUAAGUUCAAUAUUGGGUUGUCAUCUCCCUUCAAAUGACACAUUAAGUUCAAGAUUGGGUUGUCAUCUCCCUUCAAAUGGCAUGUUCAAGUUGGGUCGUCCGCCUUUCAAAGAGACAAGAUUGGGUUGUCAUAUCCCUCCAAAUGACAUAUUAAGUUCAAUGUUGGGUCGUCCGCCUUUCAAUGAGACAAGAUUGGGUUUUCAUCUCCCUUCAAAUGACAUGUUAAGUUCAAGUCGGGUAAUCCGCCUUUCAAAGAGAUAGGAUUGGGUUGUCAUCUCCCUUCAAAUGACAUAUUAAGUUCAAGUUGGGUUGUCCGCCUUUCAAAGAGACAAGAUUGGGUUGUCAUCUCCCUUCAAAUGACAUAUUAAGUUCAAGUUGGGUCGUCCGCCUUUCAAAGAGACAUGUUGGGUUGUCAUAUCCCUUCAAAUGACACGUUAAGUUCAAUAUUGGAUUAUCAUCUCCCUUCAAAUGACACAUUAAGUUCAAGAUUGGGUUGUCAUCUCCCUUCAAAUGUCAUGUUCAAGUUGGGUCGUCCGCCUUUCAAAGAGACAAGAUUGGGUUAUCAUCUCCCUCCAAAUGACAUAUUAAGUUCAAGUUGGGUCGUCCGCCUUUCAAAGAGACAAGAUUGGGUUGUCAUCUCCCUUCAAAUGACAUGUUAAGUUCAAGUCGGGUCGUCCGCCUUUCAAAGAGACAGGAUUGGGUUGUCAUCUCCCUUCAAAUGGCAUGUUCAAGUUGGGUCGUCCGCCUUUCAAAGAGACAAGAUCGGGUUGUCAUCUUCCUCCAAAUGACAUAUUAAGUUCAAUGUUGGGUCGUCCGCCUUUCAAAGAGACAAGAUUGGGUUGUCAUCUUCCUCCAAAUGACAUAUUAAGUUCAAUGUUGGGUCGUCUGCCUUUCAAAGAGACAAGAUUAGGUUGUCAUCUCCCUUAAAAUGACAUGUUAAGUUCAAGUCGGGUCGUCCGCCUUUCAAAGAGACAUGAUUAAGUUGUCAUCUCCCUCGAAAUGACAUAUUAAGUUCAAGUUGGGUUGUCCGCCUUUCAAAGAGACAAGAUUGGGUUUUCAUCUCCCUUCAAAUGACAUAUUAUGUUCAAGUUGGGUCGUCCGUCUUUCAAAGAGACAGGAUCGGGUCGUCAUCUCACUUCAAAUGACAUGUUAAGUUCAAGUUAGGUCGUCCGCCUUUCAAAGAGACAUGAUUGGGUAGUCCUCUCCCUUCAAAUGGCAUAUUAUGUUCAAGUUGGGGCGUCCUCAUUUCAAAGAGACACGAUGGGUUGUCAUUUGCCUUCAAAUGACAUAUUAAGUUCAAGUUGGGUUGUCCGCUUUUCAACGAGACACGUUGGGUUGUCACCUCGUUUAAAGUUAUAUGUUAUGUUCAAAUUGGGUCGUCCUGCUUUCAAAGAGACGCGCUGGGUUGUCACCUCAUUCAAUGUAACAUGUUAUUCGCAUCAU